rnacentral:rRNA from 1 species
UCUUCCUACGGGAGGCAGCAGUGGGGAAUAUUGGGCAAUGGGCGCAAGCCUGACCCAGCAACGCCGCGUGAAGGAAGAAGGCUUUCGGGUUGUAAACUUCUUUUGUCAGAGACGAAGCAAGUGACGGUACCUGACGAAUAAGCCACGGCUAACUACGUGCCAGCAGCCGCGGUAAUACGGAGGAUGCGAGCGUUAUCCGGAUUUAUUGGGUUUAAAGGGUGCGUAGGCGGACUGGAAAGUCAGCGGUAAAAUCGAGAGGCUCAACCUCUUUCCGCCGUUGAAACUGUCGGUCUUGAGUGGGCGAG